UGCGAGAAAUCAAACUACGAACACGACAAGC
rnacentral:piRNA from 1 species